GAUGAAGAAUGUAGCGAAAUGCGAUAAGUAAUGUGAAUUGCAGAAUUCCGUGAAUCAUCGAAUCUUUGAACGCACAUUGCGCCCCCUGGUACUCCGGGGGCAUGCCUGUCCGAGCGUCAUUGCAACCUUCAAGCGCGGCUUGUGUGUUGGGUCUCGUCCCCCGUGGACGGGCCCGAAAGGCAGUGGCGGCGUCCCGACAUGGUGCCCGAGCGUAUGGGAAUCCUCUUCCGCUCGAAUCGGCCCAUGCGGCGCUGGUCGUAACCAAAUUUUUUACCGGUUGACCUCGGAUCAGGUAGGGAUACCCGCUGAACUUAAGCAUAUCAAUAAGCGGAGGA
rnacentral:misc_RNA from 1 species